rnacentral:lncRNA from 1 species
AUAAAUCCAGAUAACAAAAUCAUUAAAAUCAAAGAUUUGACAUUAAAAUAUCUUCAGUUAAACUUAAACAUAACUGAGACCCCUAAAUGUCAAACAAAAUGGGAAAAUUUGUAUAGCGAGUACAUAAAUUGGGAAAAAAUUUGGCUAAAUCUCAGUAAACUGGAUAUUAAUAGAAAAGUUAAAGAGUUUCAAUGGAAAUGUAUACACAGGAUUAUAUAUACAGAA